CGUAGGGUGCAAGCGUUAAUCGGAAUUACUGGGCGUAAAGCGUGCGCAGGCGGUGAUGUAAGACAGGUGUGAAAUCCCCGGGCUUAACCUGGGAACUGCAUUUGUGACUGCAUCGCUGGAGUGCGGCAGAGGGGGAUGGAAUUCCGCGUGUAGCAGUGAAAUGCGUAGAUAUGCGGAGGAACACCGAUGGCGAAGGCAAUCCCCUGGGCCUGCACUGACGCUCAUGCACGAAAGCGUGGGGAGCAAACAGGAUUAGAUACCCUGGUAGUCCACGCCCUAAACGAUGUCAACUGGUUGUUGGGUCUUCACUGACUCAGUAACGAAGCUAACGCGUGAAGUUGACCGCCUGGGGAGUACGGCCGCAAGGUUG
rnacentral:rRNA from 1 species